CUCAAAGAUUAAGCCAUGCAUGUAUAUGUUUAAACUGCCAGACAGUGAAACUGCGGACGGCUCAUUACACCAGCUGUAAUUUACUUGACCUUGACAAGCUACUUGGAUAACUGUGGUAAUUCUAGAGCUAAUACAUGCACUAAAGCUCCGAUCCCCCCGGGGAGAGGAGUGCAUUUGUUUGCCACAAAACCAAGCGCCUCCGGGCGUUCUGUGUUGAAGCAGAACAACUCAGCUGAUCGCACAGUCUUGCACUGGCGACGUGUCUUUCAAGUGUCUGCCUUAUCAACUUUCGAUGGUAGUGUAUGGGCCUACCAUGGUGAUGACGGGUAACGGAGGAUAAGGGUUCGACUCCGGAGAAGGGGCCUGAGAAAUGGCCACUACGUCUAAGGAUGGCAGCAGGCGCGCAAAUUACCCACUCUCGACUUGAGGAGGUAGUGACGAGAAAUAACGAGACCGUUCUCUAUGAGGCCGGUCAUCGGAAUGGGUACAAUUUAAACCCUUUAACGAGUAUCUAUGCGAGGGCAAGCCUGGUGCCAGCAGCCGCGGUAAUUCCAGCUCGCAAAGUGCAUAGAAUUAUUGCUGCGGUUAAAAAGCUCGUAGUUGGAUCUGUGCCGGCUGCCCGGUCCGUCCUUUGUGGCGCGCGCUGGUGUCAGUCGGCUUUGCUGCCGGACUCUCCCCGACGCCGGCCUUCAUUGUGCAGGUGUCGGUGGGCUGGCGAGUUUACUUUGAACAAAUCAGAGUGCUUCAAACAGGCGUCUCGCCUGAAUGUUCGUGCAUGGAAUAAUAGAAGAGGAUCACGGUCCGAUUUUAUUGGUUUUGCUGACCGAGAUAAUGGUUAACAGAGACAAACGGGGCCAUUCGUAUUGCUGCGUGAGAGGUGAAAUUCUUGGACCGUAGCAAGACGGACUACAGCGAAAGCAUUUGGCAAGAAUGUCUUCAUUAAUCAAGAACGAAAGUCAGAGGUUCGAAGGCGAUCAGAUACCGCCCUAGUUCUGACCGUAAACGAUGCCAACUCGCGAUCCGCCGGCGGAUUCAUUCGCCCUGGUGGGGAGCGUCCCGGAAACGAAGGUCUUCCGGUUCCGGGGGAAGUAUGGUUGCAAAGCUGAAACUUAAAGGAAUUGACGGAAGGGCACCACCAGGAGUGGAGCCUGCGGCUUAAUUUGACUCAACACGGGGAAACUCACCCGGCCCGGACACCGUGAGGAUUGACAGAUUGAUAGCUUUUUCAUGAUUCGGUGGAUGGUGGUGCAUGGCCGUUCUUAGUUCGUGGAGCGAUUUGUCUGGUUUAUUCCGAUAACGAGCGAGACUCUGGCCUACUAAAUAGACGGCACAUUGCCGCUGUGUGCACGGCUUCUUAGAGGGAUUUUCGGUGUUCAGCCGCACGAAAUUGAGCAAUAACAGGUCUGUGAUGCCCUUAGAUGUCCGGGGCUGCACGCGCGCUACACUGGCAAACGCAGCGUGCUUGUUCUUCCCCGACAGGGGUUGGUAAACCGGUGAAAAUUUGCCGUGAUUGGGAUCGGAGAUUGCAAUUAUUUUCCGUGAACGAGGAAUUCCUUGUAGGGGCGAGUCAUCAACUCGCUCCGAAUACGUCCCUGCCCUUUGUACACACCGCCCGUCGCUGCCCGGGACUGAGCCAUUUCGAGAAACUCGGGGAUUGUUGGCCUUGGGGCUUUCGGGCUCCACCGCCGAUGAGAACCGAUUUAAUCGCAGUGGCUUGAACCGGGCAAAAGUCGUAACAAGGUAGC
rnacentral:rRNA from 1 species